rnacentral:rRNA from 1 species
AUUGAACGCUGGCGGCAGGCCUAACACAUGCAAGUCGAGCGGAUGAAGGGAGCUUGCUCCUGGAUUCAGUGGCGGACGGGUGAGUAAUGCCUAGGAAUCUGCCUGGUAGUGGGGGAUAACGUCCGGAAACGGGCGCUAAUACCGCAUACGUCCUGAGGGAGAAAGGGGGGGAUCUUCGGACCUCACGCUAUCAGAUGAGCCUAGGUCGGAUUAGCUAGUUGGUGGGGUAAAGGCCUACCAAGGCGACGAUCCGUAACUGGUCUGAGAGGGUGAUCAGUCACACUGGAACUGAGACACGGUCCAGACUCCUACGGGAGGCAGCAGUGGGGAAUAUUGGACAAUGGGCGAAAGCCUGAUCCAGCCAUGCCGCGUGUGUGAAGAAGGUCUUCGGAUUGUAAAGCACUUUUAGUUGGGAGGAAGAGCAGUGAGUUAAAACCUUGCUGUUUUGACGUUACCAAAAGAGUAAGCAACGGCUAACUUCGUG